CAAAAAACGAAUUCCAAUAUAUGUUUUCUGCUUUAUGUGCGCAUCCUCUACCUAUUAAGUGUUAAUUAAAUUAAAGGGUUUCUUUUUAAAAUCUUCUAUAACUAAUAAAAAAUAUGGAAGAUUUUGUUACUUUGAGUAAAUUAGAGUGUUCAAAGCAAACAGAUAUAUAGCAUUUGUGCGUUUGAAUACUACAGCAUGGAAUAACAAAAUUGAACAGGUCAAAACUAUGUUUCUUUUUUUUUAUUUUUGGCUUAGUUACGAUUAAUAGGAGUAGUUUGGGGACAUUUGUAUUCAGAUGUCAGAGGUGAAAUUCUAAGAUUUUCUGGAGACAAACAACUGCGAAGGCAUUUGUCUAAAAUACUUCCAUUAAUCAAGAACGAAAGUUAAGGGAGUGAAGACGAUCAGAUACCGUCGUAAUCUUAACCAUAAACUAUACCGACUAGGUUUUGGAUGAAAGUAAAACAAAUAAGGAUAGUCUCUUCGGGGAUAGUUCUUAGAUUUCUUCCUUCAGUACCUUAUGAGAAAUCAAAGUCUUUGGGUUCUGGGGCGAGUAUUCGCGCAAGCGAGAAAGUUAAAAGAAUUGACGGAAGGGCACCACCAGGCGUGGAGCUUGCGGCUUAAUUUGACUCAACACGGGAAAACUCACUAGUUUAAGACAAGAGUAGGAUUGACAGAUUAAUAGCUCUUUCUUGAUUUCUUGGAUGGUGAUGCAUGGCCGUUUUUAGUUCGUGAAUAUGAUUUGUCUGGUUAAUUCCGAUAACGAACGAGAUCUUAACCUGCUAAUUAGCAGUAAGUACAACAUAUUUCUAUGCUGAAUUUGUAUUUGGAUAAUUUAAAAGGUUUUUUUGCCGUGCAUAUAAUGAGUACGGAAAAAAUGCAUACUGCUACCUUGUACCUAAUAAUACUUGGCGCCUAUGCAUAUUUCCAACCCUCUAUUCCCUGUACCGCAUAAAACUGGAUUAUGAUGCCAUUUCACUUUUAUGUAGAAAUGUAUUUGCUUUUACAUAAAG
rnacentral:rRNA from 1 species